GUGAAUCAUCGAAUCUUUGAACGCACAUUGCGCCCCUUGGUAUUCCAUUGGGCAUGCCUGUUCGAGCGUCAUUUACACCCUCAAGCUUUGCUUGGUGUUGGGCGUCUGUCCUCGCUUCGUGCGACGACUCGCCCCAAAUCCAUUGGCAGCGACUUCGCCGGCUUCUCGCGCAGCACAAUGCGCUAGGGAAGGCUCCCGGCGGGAUCUCGUCCAUUAAGAUACCACCCAGUUUGACCUCGAAUCAGGUAGGGAUACCCGCUGAACUUAAGCAUAUCAAUAAGCGGAGGA
rnacentral:misc_RNA from 1 species